GGUUAAGUUAGAAAGGGCGCACGGUGGAUGCCUUGACACUAGGAGUCGAUGAAGGACGGGACUAACGCCGAUAUGCUUCGGGGAGCUGUAAGUAAGCUUUGAUCCGAAGAUUUCCGAAUGGGGAAACCCACCAUACGUAAUGGUAUGGUAUCCUUAUCUGAAUACAUAGGGUAAGGAAGACAGACCCAGGGAACUGAAACAUCUAAGUACCUGGAGGAAGAGAAAGCAAAUGCGAUUUCCUGAGUAGCGGCGAGCGAAACGGAACAUAGCCCAAACCAAGAGGCUUGCCUCUUGGGGUUGUAGGACAUUCUAUACGGAGUUACAAAGGAACGAGGUAGACGAAGCGACCUGGAAAGGUCCGUCGUAGAGGGUAACAACCCCGUAGUCGAAACUUCGUUCUCUCUUGAAUGUAUCCUGAGUACGGCGGAACACGUGAAAUUCCGUCGGAAUCUGGGAGGACCAUCUCCCAAGGCUAAAUACUCCCUAGUGAUCGAUAGUGAACCAGUACCGUGAGGGAAAGGUGAAAAGCACCCCGGAAGGGGAGUGAAAGAGAUCCUGAAACCGUGUGCCUACAAAUAGUCAGAGCCCGUUAACGGGUGAUGGCGUGCCUUUUGUAGAAUGAACCGGCGAGUUACGAUCCCGUGCGAGGUUAAGCUGAAGAGGCGGAGCCGCAGCGAAAGCGAGUCUGAAUAGGGCGUUUAGUACGUGGUCGUAGACCCGAAACCAGGUGAUCUACCCAUGUCCAGGGUGAAGUUCAGGUAACACUGAAUGGAGGCCCGAACCCACGCACGUUGAAAAGUGCGGGGAUGAGGUGUGGGUAGCGGAGAAAUUCCAAUCGAACCUGGAGAUAGCUGGUUCUCCCCGAAAUAGCUUUAGGGCUAGCCUUAAGUGUAAGAGUCUUGGAGGUAGAGCACUGAUUGGACUAGGGGUCCUCAUCGGAUUACCGAAUUCAGUCAAACUCCGAAUGCCAAUGACUUAUCCUUAGGAGUCAGACUGCGAGUGAUAAGAUCCGUAGUCAAAAGGGAAACAGCCCAGACCGCCAGCUAAGGUCCCAAAGUGUGUAUUAAGUGGAAAAGGAUGUGGAGUUGCUUAGACAACUAGGAUGUUGGCUUAGAAGCAGCCACCAUUUAAAGAGUGCGUAAUAGCUCACUAGUCGAGUGACUCUGCGCCGAAAAUGUACCGGGGCUAAAUACACCACCGAAGCUGCGGAUUGAUACCGAAUGGUAUCAGUGGUAGGGGAGCGUUCUAAGGACAGUGAAGUCAGACCGGAAGGACUGGUGGAGUGCUUAGAAGUGAGAAUGCCGGUAUGAGUAGCGAAAGACGGGUGAGAAUCCCGUCCACCGAAUGCCUAAGGUUUCCUGAGGAAGGCUCGUCCGCUCAGGGUUAGUCAGGACCUAAGCCGAGGCCGACAGGCGUAGGCGAUGGACAACAGGUUGAUAUUCCUGUACCACCUCUUUAUCGUUUGAGCAAUGGAGGGACGCAGAAGGAUAGAAGAAGCGUGCGAUUGGUUGUGCACGUCCAAGCAGUUAGGCUGAUAAGUAGGCAAAUCCGCUUAUCGU
rnacentral:rRNA from 1 species